AGUGAACGCUGGCGGUAGGCCUAACACAUGCAAGUCGAACGGCAGCACAGUAAGAGCUUGCUCUUACGGGUGGCGAGUGGCGGACGGGUGAGGAAUAUAUCGGAAUCUACAUUUUCGUGGGGGAUAACGUAGGGAAACUUACGCUAAUAUCGCAUACGACCUACGGGUGAAAGCAGGGGAUCUUCGGACCUUGCGCGAUUGAAUGAGCCGAUGUCGGAUUAGCUAGUUGGCGGGGUAAAGGCCCACCAAGUCGACGAUCCGUAGCUGGUCGGAGAGGAUGAUCAGCCACACUGGAACGGAGACACGGUCCAUACUCCUACGGGAGGCAGCAGUGGGGAAUAUUAGACAAUGGGCGCAAGCCUGAUCCAGCCAUACCGCGUGUGUGAAGAAGGCCUUCGGGUUGGAAAGCCCUCUUGUUGGGAAAGAAAAGCAGCAGGUUAAUACCCCGCUGGUCUGACGGUACCCAAAGAAUAAGCACCGGCUAACUUCGUG
rnacentral:rRNA from 1 species